GUCUACAGCCAUGCCACCCUGAAUGUGCCCAAUCUUGUCUGAUCUCAGAAGCUAAGUAGGGUUGGUUCUGGUUAGUACUUGGAUGGGAGAAAAGGAGAAAGAGCUCAGUUGUUGAUA
ensembl:rRNA 5S_rRNA 5S ribosomal RNA